UCUUUAAAUGCCUGAAAACAGGUUUGUUUCUUCCUUCCUUCCUUUUUCUUUCUUCAUUUCUUUCUCUUUCUUUCCUCUGUUCUUUCUUUAUUUCUCUUUCUUUCUCUCCUUCUCUUUCUCUCUCUAUUUCUCUCUCUUUCUUUCUCUCUUUCUCUCUAUUUCUUUCUCUCUCUCUUUCUUUCUUUCUCUCUUUGUUUCUCUCUCUUUCUUUCCUUCUUUCCUUCUUUCCUUCUUUCCUUCUUUCUUUCUUUCCUUCUUUCUUUCUUUCUUUCCUUCUUUCCUUCUUUCCUUCUUUCCUUCUUUCUCUCUCUCUCUCUCUUUCUUUCUUUCUUUCUUUCUUUCUUUCUUUCUUUCUUUCUUUCUUUCUUUCUUUCUUUCUUUCUUUCUUUCUUUCUUUCUUUCUUUCUUUCUUUCUUUCUUUCUUUCUUUCUUUCUUUCUUUCUUUCUUUCUUUCUUUCUUUCUUUCUUUCUCUCUCUCUCUCUCUCUCUCUCUCUCUCUCUCUCUCUCUCUCUCUCUCUCUCUCUCUCUCUCUCUCUGGGUGAUUUUAUAAAUAGGGAAAGAGGCAUGAUGACUCACUUGACUGGAGAAAUCAGAAUAGGG
rnacentral:lncRNA from 1 species